GGCUCAGGAUGAACGCUAGCGGCAGGCUUAACACAUGCAAGUCGAGGGGCAUCGGGAGUAGCAAUACUUGCCGGCGACCGGCGCAAGGGUGCGUAACGCGUGAGCAACAUGCCCGUAUCAGGGGGAUAAUCCAUGGAAACGUGGUCUAAUACCCCAUAGUAAUUAUGUAAGGCAUCUUAUAUAAUUUAAAGCUUUGGUGGAUACGGAUUGGCUCGCGUGACAUUAGCUGGAUGGUAAGGUAACGGCUUACCAUGGCUACGAUGUCUAGGGGUUCUGAGAGGAAGGUCCCCCCACACUGGAACUGAGACACGGUCCAGACUCCUACGGGAGGCAGCAGUGAGGAAUAUUGGACAAUGGAUGGAAAUCUGAUCCAGCCAUGCCACGUGCAGGGAAAAGACGGCCCUAUGGGUUGUAAACUGCUUUUGUAUGGGAGCAAUAAGGGCUACGUGUAGUCCGAUGAGAGUACCAUACGAAUAAGCACCGGCUAACUCCGUGCCAGCCGCAGC
rnacentral:rRNA from 1 species